CAGGCAUUUUCACAGAUGGUGGCGGCCAGAGACUCCUGGGUCAGAGCUGAGACUCUGCAUCAAGAGCUUGGUUGGUGAUUGUGCUCAUCGGAGGAGCACA